CCUGGUGUUUUGCUAGCCCCCUUUGACUAUUUCUAGUGUUUUGCCUGUUGGUUUUCGACUUAGUUUAGAUUUUCUGGAUGUUUUGCCUUGAACUCUGCUUGCCCACUGGAUUACAGUGUUUGGAUAUUGGACUGAACUUUGGCUGCUGACAUCACAGCCUUUCAAAAAGUGACAUAAAGCAGCAGAGACUGAUGGGACACAACCCCAUCUGCAAAUUGUAGUAAUUUGCCAAGAAUGCCUGCGAUUGUGGACUUCCUGUGCACAUGAUGUCACCUCUGGUCAUCCGGGGAUAAGAUGACUGGGCUCUCUGUCCUCAUCAGAGGCUACUCGGAGCAGCAGAGAAGGGAAAGAGGGGAAAGUCAAGGACACAGGCAGAGACCGUCGACCCACAAAGGCACCUUGCAAGCCCCUCCCUGAAUAUUUCUCCCCCCCCCACCCACUUCCUGCCUUCCCCGUAUCUCCUCAAAUAUCCAUCAUGUG